CUGACAGCCCUGGAGUCUGACGUCCUCUAUUCACAGAGGAGUCAGGACCGUGCCAGUGCUAGCUCCCUGCCACACUGCCCCAAGCAAUGUGCCUCAAUACUAAGAUGGAGGAACCAUCUAAGGGGGGUUGAGGAGUGGGUGGCAGAGGACAAUUCAGUUCAAUGCACAAUCAAAUCUGCCCAGAC
rnacentral:sRNA from 1 species